UGGUGAUUAGUAUCACAUUUGGGAUCAUCAACAUCAUCACAGCCAUGGAAGGCAGUCCUAUUUCCUCCAUCCAACCUGAAGGAGGAGUACCAGAACUGACUUCAGUCGGAGGUAUUCCAAAAAUAGUGUAUAUGAUGCCCUUUUCGCAUCAAUAAUURUGGCUAUAUGUUUUUUUAUAUGGUUGUUUUUUAAGAUUGUACAGCUAAGGAAGGAUUCUAGGCAUCACAUUGUGGAUGCAAACAAUAAUCCAUAAAAUAAAAUAGUCCUUCAUAUGAAGCAGUAAUUAGGAAGAACUUAAAUUUCCUUCCUUUAUCCUCCAAUUUGUUAUAAAGUACUAAAUUGUUGAGAUAAUAAUAUAUUUCUUUAAACUU